UGGGGAAUAUCGCACAAUGGGCGCAAGCCUGAUGCAGCAACGCCGCGUGAGGGACGACGGCCUUCGGGUUGUAAACCUCUUUUGGCAGGGAAGAAGCGAAAGUGACGGUACCUGCAGAAAAAGCACCGGCUAACUACGUGCCAGCAGCCGCGGUGAUACGUAGGGUGCAAGCGUUGUCCGGAAUUAUUGGGCGUAAAGAGCUCGUAGGCGGUUUGUCGCGUCUGCUGUGAAAACCCGAGGCUCAACCUCGGGCCUGCAGUGGGUACGGGCAAACUAGAGUGCGGUAGGGGAGAUUGGAAUUCCUGGUGUAGCGGUGGAAUGCGCAGAUAUCAGGAGGAACACCGAUGGCGAAGGCAGAUCUCUGGGCCGUAACUGACGCUGAGGAGCGAAAGCAUGGGGAGCGAACA
rnacentral:rRNA from 1 species